rnacentral:rRNA from 1 species
CACCAGCGCCCCGAGUGGCAACCGCUUUUAUUGGGCCUAAAGCGUCCGUAGCCGGUUCAGUAAAUUUCCUGUGAAAUUGUUGGGCUUAACCUAACAGCAUGCAAGAAAGACUACUGGACUAGGGACCGGGAGGCGUCAGAGGUAUUCCUGAGGGAGCGGUAAAAUGCUAUAAUCUUAGGAGGACCCCCUGUGGCGAAGGCGUCUGACGAGAACGGAUCCGACGGUGAGGGACGAAAGCUAGGGGAGCGAACCGG